UGGGGAAUAUUGGGCAAUGGGCGAAAGCCUGACCCAGCAACGCCGCGUGAAGGAAGAAGGUCUUCGGAUUGUAAACUUCUUUUAUGAGGGACGAAGGACGUGACGGUACCUCAUGAAUAAGCCACGGCUAACUACGUGCCAGCAGCCGCGGUAAUACGUAGGUGGCGAGCGUUAUCCGGAUUUACUGGGUGUAAAGGGCGCGUAGGCGGGGAUGCAAGUCAGAUGUGAAAUCUAUGGGCUUAACUCAUAAACUGCAUUUGAAACUGUGUCUCUUGAGUGCUGGAGAGGUAGAUGGAAUUCCUUGUGUAGCGGUGAAAUGCGUAGAUAUAAGGAAGAACACCAGUGGCGAAGGCGAUCUACUGGACAGUAACUGACGCUGAGGCGCGAGAGCGUGGGGAGCAAACAGG
rnacentral:rRNA from 1 species